GCUUUUUACUUUUCCAGGAUAUUAAAUUUUCACCAAUCAUUAUACAAUAUCCUAAAGUAGAUCGUCUAUAUGAUGGGAACUUGCCCAGUUUGCAUCUAAAUAUCCAACAAUUUGUGAGUGACAUUUAUCUUCAUAUAACAAACUUUGUCCUAGAGCUCGUUUAAUGUACUUGAGAAUACAAAUAACUGCAUCUCAAUGGCCACUGCAUAGUGCCUUGAGAAACUGACUAACCACACUCAUAGCAAAAGAAAUGUCAGGUCGUGUAAUUGUAAGAUAGUUGAGUUUACCAAUUAGUCUUCUAUAUCUUUCAGGAUUUUCUAAUGGCUCCCCCCGUCCAAGAACAAGUUUGACAUUCAGGUCCAUGGGAGUGUCUACAUGUCUACAGUCUAACAUCCCAAUCUCCUCCAAUAUAUCCAAAGCAU
rnacentral:misc_RNA from 1 species